rnacentral:rRNA from 1 species
GACGAACGCUGGCGGCGUGCUUAACACAUGCAAGUCGAACGGUAAGGCCCUUCGGGGUACACGAGUGGCGAACGGGUGAGUAACACGUGGGUGAUCUGCCCUGCACUUCGGGAUAAGCCUGGGAAACUGGGUCUAAUACCGGAUAGGACCACUGCCUGCAUGGGUGGUGGUGGAAAGCUUUUGCGGUGUGGGAUGGGCCCGCGGCCUUUCAGCUUGUUGGUGGGGUGAUGGCCUACCAAGGCAACGACGGGUAGCCGGCCUGAGAGGGUGACCGACCACACUAUGACUGAGAUACUGCCCAUACUGCUACGUGGGGCAGCAGUGGUGAAUAUUGCACAAUGGACGCAUGCCUGAUGCAACGACGCCGCGUGAGGGAUGACGGCCUUCGGGUUGUAAACCUCUUGCAGCACCGACGAAGCGCAAGUGACGGUAGGUGCAGAAGAAGGACCGGCCAACUACGUGCCAGCAGCCGCAGUAA